UUCCGUACACUUCAAGCUUAAGUAGGCUAUUCACAACAAAUAUGACCAACACUUUGAAGCAAAUAUAAACAAGCUCUAAUUUUUUAUUUCAAAAUAUCUGCAAUUGUUGCAUCUGUCAGUAUCUGUUGGUUCACUACACCCACAACAUCCAUCAACUGUGCAGAAAUGGCACGCAAACGGCAGCAGUCAACGUCUAGUGCAAAAACAACGAUUUUGUUGAGACCGCAAACUAGCAUGUGGCACAGUGAAUGCUAAGCCUUGUUGAGUUUUUACUUUGUGGACUUAACACUUGAUACUAGGCGUGUGAGUUGGGCAGCAGGAGGGCUGGGAGCCACUCAAACAGACAAUGACAAUUGCCUACAAAUAAAUACAGUCCAAAGUAUUACGAAGCGCGGCUUUCUAGCUGUUUUAUUACUUGCCACUAGAGUUGUCUGCCACAAGCCACUUAUGCAAAUUGAAUUUAUUAUUUUGCCACUUCAACAACGAGUGUGGCGCACGCAUUUCACGAAAAAUAUUUUUCUCCACUUUAUCAAUUGCGGCGCGUCCAGUACUUCAUUUGUUAGUGUCGCCGUUCACAGAGACCGACAUUCCGUUGCGGUGCGCGGGGCUGGGCACUUUUGUCACCCAUAAUGCGAACGCCAACACGCCAAAGACGCCGUUUGAAGUGCACAAUGUUGCAAUUGUCACUUCUUAUCGUCACUUCGUGUGCCAUACGAGACACGAAUGCAUGUCGGCAUGUCAGUAGGUGUAUCUGUGUGUGUUUGUGAAGAAACAUGCACAUUUGUUUGUGGCAGUGGCUUAAGCAAUCAUUUCUCACCAGACAUGUGUCCUGCAUAUGGUCGCGAGGCAUAGUUUGUGGCGUUGGAGAUUCGGAAUGUAAACAAAUAAAUAAGUGCGCACAUAUUUUAGAUAAGCAUAGUCUCGCUAUUUCUUCAUAUGCAAGCAAUUUUUUAUAUUUGUGUGUGAAUGAGGGCGUUGCAUGCUUCAGAUUAGCAACUAGACUGUUGUGGAUCUGUUUUGCACUAGUACGAAACUGCUAUAUUUCGGACUAAAAUCUGAAGGUUGACAACUGAAGACCUGCUAGCCAAAGACUGCACCGUAAAUGCGGACUAUCUGUUUGACUAGCUGGUAUAGUUUGUUCGAUUCGCUACUCUCUAAGGCUAAUAUUAGUAUUUUUAACUCAACCAAAUAUGAAACCAGUGUAACGAGGUCCAUUAUCUCCAAUAAUCAGCCACCUUAGACCCUUGAAUACCCUUUCUUGUUAUACAUUCUUGUUAUUUGUUAAGUUAGGUUAUCUUUCACCCAUAAAAUUCACUUUCAAGUAGCAAGGCAUCAUUUCCCUCAAUCGAGUGCCUCUUAUUGCUCUCAUUAACGGUAUAAACAAAUGCGUGUACUUAAUUCACUGAAGUUGUUAUUGUUGUACGCUUAACAAGCUACGCUCUCAAAGUUGAUUUGUUUAUUUAUUUUCGCUUACAUGUGGCAUUUUAAAGUGUUGCAUGCAGCUGCCUUAUGCCACUUAUGUUGAUGCAGUCAUUUCAGAGCAAAUGUUGUGUGUGGUUUUAUGCCAGCUAAUGGCGCUGUAGACAACGGUGUUUGUAUGUAAAGUAGCACGCAAUGGUGAGAAGUUGCGAAAUUUCGGCGUGUUACAAGAAACCGUGGAUUAAGUGUGAUUUAAUGUUGUUUGUUUCGAAAAAACAAACUGGCGUAGUGAGUUAAAAAAGUGUACGCUGCACAAUGAAAGAAGUGAUUAUAGAGUAUGUAUGUAUUUAUUUUUGAACUUUAUUUUCUAAUCCUAAAUACGAAAUUACAGAUCUCGGAAGAAUAUUCUGGUUUACAUAUAGUAUUGAUAAAGAGAACAUUAUUCUCGAUUUACAUGAAAGAAAUAUACAUAUGCAUAUAUUAAAUAGUACAAGUCAUCGCAGACACCCACAAGUAAUCCUAGGCAGCAGCUGAGUGAAAUGAUUCAGGUGAACAGCAAUUAAAAAUAAUUUCAAGAAAAUGUUCUAUGUCACUAUAACGCCGCUGUUCUAUUUUUAGGCACCUUACAUCUAGAUAUACAUGUAUAUGUGUUCAAUUUCAUAGUAAAUGACAAGUUAAAGCUACGCCGAGAAGACGCUUUCCACAUUCACUCAUCGCGCAACGAAUUUACCUUUGUGAACUUGUCUCUCUAGCACUCUGGUGGAUCCACACAUGUUUAUAUAAAUAUGUAUAUGGAGGAGUAUAAAUUCAUGCCGAUCUGCAAACCAUUAAAAAUAUAUUUAUGAGUGCUGCACUUACUGUCUGUCUCUCUGUUGAGUUCUGAGAAUAUUUUUUGGCGUUCGUGCAACGUGCAUUACAAAGGCAACAACAAAGCAGUGGCGUCCAGUCAUCCAUUAUUGUUGCACCAUCAAAGCUUUGUCUUUCACGCGCCACACGUCGUGUUGGCUUUGUCAGCUUUAUUGUCAAUAAGCCGCCAAAGUUCAUGCAAUGUUUUGCCGCUAAUUAAGCACCAAAAAUGAUACCUGCCUGCAUUUACAUGGUGCAACUUUAAUGAUCUACACAUAAAAUUUAAUGAGGCAGUCACGCCAUUGACACCACACCAAAAUCAAGCUUCUCAAUUAUGGUUAACAAAAGUUUUCAGCAAGCCGCGCUUAGCACGCUUAACGGUGACAACUGUGGGAAUCUCUAUUUAUCUACCAGGUAUUUAUGUUUGUAUAUUUCUUUAAUAUUAAAAAGUGAAAACUCUGCUCGUUAAUUUUUAUAGACAAUAAAUGUUUAACUUUCUAAAAUUA